GUGAACGCGCGCUCUGCCGAUCACCCGGAUGCAACAACGCACAACAUCGCGGCUGUCUCGAUUCGUGUUCGAUCCGCGAAACGCGUCAGAUCUCUGGCCCGCACGCACUUGGUCUAAAGGCGCGAGCGCGCGCAACGGUCGCAUUCACAUCGGCGGCGGGAGCGGCACGACACGCACGCAUUUGCGACUUCUCGCACGCAUCUUAUCGGUGAAAUUCGCGGCCGAUCGAAAGUGCCGAAGCCCGUGCAUUUUUCUCGUAGCGCGACGAAAUCGACCGCGAGAUGGCGUCUGACCGGCCCGCGAGCUUCGCUCUGCAAUUUUUGCGUACCCUUGUGGGAUAUUCUGCGGAUGGAAACGUGUCUGCUUUGUCUGUGGCUAUACAAAUACUUAUCUGAAUAUAACGUGUUUUAAAGUUCCAAUCCCAAAUAACGGCGAAGAAGCGACGGCAUAACCUCACAUUUUGGCGUUAUAAGUCAUUCGUGGAAUUGCGUUAGUUUAAACAAUAGCAAAUAAUUAACCGCCACGGUAAUAAGCCGUAAGACGUAUCCCCAAUAAUGGCAGGAAAUGCGCAAUAAACUAGGCAGCUUUCUGUUAAACAAAAAGAUUUCAUAUGUACGAAAUGCAAGGUCGCAGCUGCAGAAUGGAACAAAUAACUAUAACUUUAGGUUCGAUAUCCGGAGGAGCUGUGAAAUCGUCCGAAUUGUGGUGCAAGAUCUGGAGAUAGUGGGAGCACAAUACUCAUACGGGUACAGUCAAUACGUCCUGUGACUAUUGUCCUGGUGCGCAGUACCUCAACCUGUUCAAUAGUCGGAGGUUUAUCGAAUGGCCAAAGACAAAUUUUAUAUUUUUGAACUUUAUUUUUUGUACCCCGUGCCAAAAGAAGACAAACGUCAAGCGUUGCGAACGUUAUAUUUAAAGCAAGCGAAAACUUCUAUAAAGAAUGACAAUUUUAGUCUCUUCUUGUUUAUAUAUUUUAGUUCGUAAAUAAAGUUACUUAUUAUG